CCAAGGAUAGCGACUGGGGGAUGGUCUAGGCCAUGGAAGAGUUUGUGAUGACCUGCCAACUGCACUACCUCCUCAUUCAGAGGAAUUAUAAGGGAUGUAAACAGGCUGAAAGCUGUGUGGGGAGAACCAAAGAAGAAUGAAUUACAGGGACGUGAAUGAAGGGUGGUGGCCCUUGUUACUCAUCAUGAAUAUUCUGUAGGAUCACAUUCCCCUGCCCUUCUGUGGACCCACCACCCCCAGAGUGAUUUCCCUUUUGAUCCAGUGCUUAAGAUACGCGUUUGAGACCUGGCUUGGGAAGAUUUCAAAUGGCCCAAGGCAACUAAACCAACGGGCCACUACUACUGAGCCUGAGUGCCCUAGAGCCUGUGAUCUGCAUUAAGUGAAACACAGGAUUGAAAAGCCAGUGUACUGCAAUUGCAGAGUAACCCCAGCUCCCUGCAAAUAG
ensembl:lncRNA